rnacentral:rRNA from 1 species
UACGGAGGGUGCAAGCGUUAUCCGGAUUCACUGGGUUUAAAGGGUGCGUAGGUGGGUUUGUAAGUCAGUGGUGAAAUCUCCGGGCUCAACCCGGAAACUGCCAUUGAUACUAUCUGUCUUGAAUAUCGUUGAGGUAAGCGGAAUAUGUCAUGUAGCGGUGAAAUGCUUAGAUAUGACAUAGAACACCAAUUGCGAAGGCAGCUUGCUAACCGAAUAUUGACACUGAGGCACGAAAGCGUGGGGAUCAAACAGG